CUUCUUUGCUGGCGACCGGCGCACGGGUGAGUAACACGUAUCCAACCUGCCCUUUACUCGGGGAUAGCCUUUCGAAAGAAAGAUUAAUACCCGAUAGCAUAAUGAUUCCGCAUGGUUUCAUUAUUAAAGGAUUCCGGUAAAGGAUGGGGAUGCGUUCCAUUAGGUUGUUGGUGGGGUAACGGCCCACCAAGCCUUCGAUGGAUAGGGGCUCUGAGAGGAAGGUCCCCCACAUUGGAACUGAGACACGGUCCAA
rnacentral:rRNA from 1 species